AUUUCUCCGAAAUAAACUUGAAGAUAACGACGUAACAAUGAAUGGCAGGACGCACAAAACCCCAUGGGCUCAGGUCAAAUGGCAUUAGUCACAGGUCUUAGUCGCAGCAGCGGCGCCGCGCAGCCCCUUAGGCUAUCGCGGAGUUUGAAAAGACGCGUUCAAGAAGAUCACUUAAAAGAAACAGGGGGAAUCGAGUCAGUGCCACCUCAGCCCCAACCUGAGGAAAGCGAAGAGACUGUCUCCAGGAAGAUUCUCCUUUGAAGCUCUACAUUCGGAGGAGGCUUUCUUGGGGUGGACCAACAUUCUUGAGACCCGCAUUCUUCCCUCCGGUUUUCACGCAUUUGUGGGUUGUAGUUAAUUAAGAAGCUGCCAAGUUAAGCACCCCACAGUCGUAGGUCUCUCUCUCUGGACAACAUCUGGACCUGCGCUGCUCUGGCUUAAAAUGUCAGGGCUGUGAAUUUCAACUUAAACUGCCGAGAGCUCCCUGCGGUUGGAGAAGGGCCAGAAUAGCACUCAUAGCCGUUGGACACCCUUACCCGAGGCAGCUUCCGGCCAGCCUAAACCCUUUGUAAGCGGAAUCCUGCCGUUCUGCAGCCCAGCGCUGCUCUUCUCCUCACCUCCCGCAAGGUGAGGUGCAGAGAGCCCCUUGCAGAAACCCCUAGAGAAAACAGUUUUCCAAGUUGCUGGGAGUUUGAAGGAGACUCGUUUUACUGUUCAGGAAUCCACCAACUCUCAAACUCAACCAGUCUAGAAAUGAAGUAACUCCAGACCUCUUCCCACUCUUUCGGACACCCAUCCAGUGGCCCCAAAGCAUUCAUUUCCAAGUCUCCCUGAGUCGUCAGAAUGGGACUUCUAAGACUGGUUUCACUCACCCCUACAUUUGCUUAACUCUUCAGUUGGAGUAACGGAUAGGGCUGGAGACUAGAGAGGGAGUAUAUUUUCAUGUUCACUGACUUGAAACUUUUCAUUGCCCCACCCCCACAAGAAGGAAAGUAACUUUGCUAAUAGCCUGAAGAUGUAUUUCUAUGAAUAUUUAUUGAUUUAUUUUCCAGGCUUAGCAGGGGAGCUGCAAAUAAAUUUAGUGCGUUCUUUAAAUAAUUCCUUUUC
rnacentral:lncRNA from 13 species